rnacentral:rRNA from 1 species
GAUCNGGCUCAGGAUGAACGCUGGCGGCAUGCCUAAUACAUGCAAGUCGAACGAGAGGAAGGAAAGCUUGCUUUUCUGAAUCUAGUGGCGAACGGGUGAGUAACACGUAGGUAACCUGCCCAUGUGCCCGGGAUAACUUCUGGAAACGGAUGCUAAAACCGGAUAGGUAGCAGACAAGCAUUUGACUGCUAUUAAAGUGGCCUUGGCCAUGAACAUGGAUGGACCUGCGGUGCA